GAUGAACGCUGACAGAAUGCUUAACACAUGCAAGUCAACUGUGGCGGACGGGUGAGUAACGCGUAAAGAACUUGCUUCACAGUUAGGGACAACCUUUGGAAACGAAUGCUAAUACCUGAAACUGUGAGAGAGCUUUGCGUCGCAUUAGCUAGUUGGAGAGGUAACGGCUCACGAAGGCGAGGAUCGGUAGCCGGCCUGAGAGGGUGAUCGGGCACAAGGGGACUGGGACGCAGCCCUUACUCCGACGGGAGGCAGGAGUGGGUAAUAUGGGACGAUGGACCAAAGUCUGAAGCAGCAAUUCGGUGUGCACGAUUAAUUUUUCGGAAUGAAAAGUGCUUGCUUUUGGAAAUCGGUACCUACAGAAGAAGUGCCGGCUAAAUACGUGCCAGCAGCCGCGGUAAUAC
rnacentral:rRNA from 1 species